AAAGUACUGCCAAGUUCAGUCUCUGAGAGAUGAUUUGAUGAGCCCAGCUGCUUUUUUCCACAUCAGAUCUGUUGGGGUCAUAGAGAAGGCCUCCAAUAAAAAGCAAUCCUCUUCCCUACUCAAGUUCGAAAUGAACUGAAAAUAAGACACAGGGCCAGUUGAAUCCCAUAGACCAGCUUUAUUGCUGAUAAGAGUCCAGGUUGGAGGAUGUGGGUCUGCCACGGAAAUGCCAUGCUUGGGCAGAUGACCACCUGUCACAGGUAGUAGGGAACUAGGCUCUCCAAGGGGAACAGUCGGGGACAGGCUUCCCUCACUCUUGUCCUUCCUACCACUCAGGCAUCGACCCCUGAGGCACAGCAAGGAAUGCAGGGCCCUCUGGAGGCAGCCUGCUCUCACAAGCAUCAGCUUCCGGGUGGCAGAAAGCCAGGAGAACAUUUCUGGAACAACAGGAGUCAAAGUAUAUUUCUUAAAGAUAAUCUGUUAACUUGUCAAUGUCACGGACAAGCUCUAAUGAUGUACAAUGAAAACUUGUUAAAUCAAAGCUGUUUAGAUAUGACAGCAAAGUGGGCUUCACCCAAGCCCCAAAGCCUUUUCUCUACUUGCCACUCCAGAAACAAGGUAGAAAACGUGAAUAUAUGAUUCUGUAUGGUGACAUUUUAAAUGAUCAUUAUAUCCAUUUAUGGAGCACCUGCUAUGUGUCAGGCAUUAUACUAAGUGCCUUAUAUAAAAGAACUCCGUUAGGAAGGCAUUAUCCCAUUUUGCAGAGGAGGAGACUGAGACUCAGGUUAAGUAACUCUCCCAAGAAACAGGAGCAGUGGGCAACGGGAGCCUACGAAGGAAAAGGAAAGAUGAGGAAAGGAAUUGUUGAAGGAGCAGAACCUGCACACAGCACUGAGGGAGGAACACCAGGACUGCCCUGAGUGGGGCACCCACACCAGUGGUCUGAGAGGCCCAGCCAUUCCCUUAAUUCUGUCAUUUGCCUGGGCCUUCAGUCUGUUAGAAUCCAGUUUUUUCAGAGUGCUUCCAUUAACAUCCUGAAUCCUUUCUGGGUACAGAUUUCACACUUCAUUUGGAAAAGCAAAAAAGAGAUUCUCUUGUUGGGCUGAAACUGAGACAAAGUUUAUUUGAUUUUUUUUUUUUUUUCUUUCCCCUUGCUCAGGGCUGUGGAUAGUGGUUUUGAAAAUGGAUUCUGGUUUCAGAAACUAAUCAGUCCCAGACAAGUUCAAGAAACCAUUUGAUAAUUAUUCAAAGAUGAGCACUUACUUUUUUAAUUAUAAAAAUAGCAAUAAUACACUUAUUAUGGAAGUUUUAAGAAAAUGGGUAAAUGUAUGAAUGAGGAAAUAACACAGGUGUUAUUAAUAACACCUUAAUAAUUCCUGAGGCUACAACCAAGUGGCAAUCCCUGCUAAAAUCGUGGUAUGUUUCUUCCGUCUGUGUGUGUCUGCAUAUGUGUGUGUUUUAAUACCUGAUAUCAUACUGCACCUACAUUUUGAAUCUUUUUCACUUAAAAAUAAAACAUGAAUACUUAAAUAUGAGCUAUUGUCAUUUAAAAAAAAUCUGUUUACCACACACUUUACAUGGAUGAUCUCAUUUAAUUAAAUAGAACCCCAAGAACAGUUACUACAAUUCUGAUUUCAUAGAUAGAGAAACUGGGGCUCAGAGGCUAUGAAAGGAUAUGCCAUUUCUACGUGAUCCUUGAUUGUUACUGAGGUUUAUCUUUUAUGUGUUUAGUAGCCAUAUAUGUCUUAUCUCAUUUCCUGUUUUUUAGUUGAAGAAUUCAUCUUUUUCUCAUUGAUAUUAGGAACUUUUAUAUACUAAGGUUAUUAACCUUUUGCAUGUAAAAUAGAAAUAUUUUCUUCCUUUGGCCAUUAGCCUCUAUAAUUUUUUCUAAUUUUGACAUACAUAAAUUAAUUUUUCAAUGCUCAAACGAUUUCCCCAUGUUUUCUUCUUUUUAAUGCUUAUUUUCCCACCAAAUUAUAGAGCUGUAUUUAUUCUAGUUGUUAAGGGGUCUCAUUUUUUGUGUGUACUUAAAUGUAGUACAUCUGGAAUUUAUUGUGUAGUGUGAGGUAAAGAGAUAAUCAAUAAUUGUCCUAGCUGUUAAUUGACUGUAAUUUCCUCACUGAUUUGAAAUGCCACAUUUAUCACAUUAUAAAUUCUGGCACACACUGGGGUCUGUUUCUGAAUUUCUGCAUCUGGUGCUAUGGCAAACUUUGCAAACUAUUCACCAAACUCCUUUAAAAAAAAAAAUUCCUUCUGGACAGACAACUAGACUACAUUUCCCAGGUUCCCUUGUACUUAGUUUUCAUAUAACUGAUAGAGGAUGAGGGAAGUAAUAGUGGCACCUCCACAAUAGCCUACAAAAGUAAAAACCUGGGUUUGAGCUGCCUGCGAUUGAGAGGACUCCCAGGGGAGUCUUGGAAGCACUGUGACCAGAUGAAGGAGGCUGGGCCUCUGAGUCUUUCUUGAGAAAUAGAUGCUGGCCCAUCUGAAAUGCCCAUUUUGGACUUGAUGUGAAUGAGAUAUGAACUUGUAUUAUGAGGGUCUGUAUAUCUGAAAGCCAAUUAUUUUUUACAAUUCUUAAAACAUUAAGAAUAAUUUUGCUACCCUAUGUCCAAAAACAAGUCUUAUUGAAUUUGCAUUAACCUUAAAAAAUAAAUAUGGGAAAGAUUGUGAUUUAUGCUAUUCAGUCUUCCAAUUCAAAAACAUACUGUGUUCUACAGUUAUUUAUUCUUUUAUAGUCUUCAUUAAAAUUUGGUGGUUUUCUUCAUAUAGAUCCUGCCUAUUUUAUGUUUAAAUGGUUGUUUUUUUUUGUGGGAUUUUCCCUUUGACAUUAUUCAACUUAUUUUUGUUCAUAUAUAACUAUCUUUGGUGUAUUUAAAAUCUAGACACCUUAAUAGUUUCUUAAUUGAUUUUGGGGAUCCUCAAGGUAUUUUUCUGUAAAGGGCCAGAUAGUACAUUGUUUAGACUUUGUGAGCUACAUUGUCUCUGUCAUAACUAUUCAGCUUUGCUGCUGUAGUUCACAGACAGCCACUACAUAAUAUGUAAAUGAAAGGGUAUGGUUAUGUUGUAAUAAAACUUUAUUUACCAAAGCAAUCCACCGGCCAGACUUAGCCCUUGCUCCAUAGUUGCCCCCCUCCCCCCGGUCAAAAUAAAUCAUAUUAUCUACAAAUAACAUUACUUUUUAAGACUUACAGUAUUGCCUACAACUUUGAUAACUACAAAUAUUAAAAUAGUUGUGAUAGUAUCAUAUCUAUUUCUUAUUUUAAUGAGAUUGUCUCUAGUGUUUCAUGUUUAAGAAUGAUGGUGCAUGGCUGUUGACUUGAAAGAGAGGGGUGUGUGUGUGUUUCUAUAAUUUUAAAGUUGUACUCCAUAUCAUUCUAUACCAAGUUUACUUCAAGUUUUAAACAGGAAGGACAUUCAGUCUUAUGCCUUUUGAUCAUAUAUUGAGAUAAUAAUGUAACUUUUGUCCUUUGACCUAUUACUGUAUAACUUACAUUCCUGGAUUUCCCUAUUCCAAACCAUCCAUGAAUUCGUAGAUAACAUAAUAAACAUUGUGUGUAUUAUUCUUCUAAUACUACUAGGUAGGAUUUCUGCAUGCUUAUCAACUUGGGAAAUUGGUUGAUAGAUUUUUAUAAUCUAGUAUUGGUCAAAUUUAUUUUAGAAUUAUGAUUUUUAAAUGAGUUUUCAUAUUUCCUUGUCUCAAAAAAAAAUGCUGUAGGGAUUUUUUUUUCUUUGAUCCUUAUAAAUUUGACAAAUCACCAGUCGUACACUUUGGGGAGGCAACUAUUUAGCAAUAUUUUUCCAUUUCUUCUAUAGCUUUUGUUGCAUUUAAGUUUCCUAUUUAUGGGAUGGGUGAAUCUUUUGGAAGAGUUGUCAGCGAAUGUCAAUCUAAAAGAAAAGAGUAAAAAAUAUUUUUGAAGAUGCUUGAAGUAUGGGAAGCUAUUUGUGAAAACAAGCUAGAAGAAGCUAGUAUCCUCUUAAAUAUUUAUAUUUCCUUAAUUUUAUUUGUCUCAAGUCAGGGCUACCAUAGUCCCAUUUAUUUUGAAUGGCCCGGAGUAAUUUCUAUCCAUCAACAGUAAACUUCUGUAAGUACACCUCAAUAGCAAUAGAAGUGAGGUGAAUUAUUAUAAAAUGAUAACUUGGGCAACAGACAAAC
rnacentral:lncRNA from 1 species